rnacentral:rRNA from 1 species
UACGUAGGGGGCAAGCGUUGUCCGGAAUCAUUGGGCGUAAAGAGCGUGUAGGCGGUCCGGUCAGUCGGUUGUGAAAGUCAAGGGCUCAACCCUCGGAUGCCGGUGGAUACUGUCGGGCUUGAGUACGGAAGAGGCGAGUGGAAUUCCUGGUGUAGCGGUGAAAUGCGCAGAUAUCAGGAGGAACACCAAUUGCGAAGGCAGCUCACUACACAAAGAUUGACACUGAGGCACGAAAGCGUGGGGAUCAAACAGG